rnacentral:rRNA from 1 species
AGAGUUUGAUCCUGGCUCAGGACGAACUCUGGCGGCGUGCUUAACACAUGCAAGUCGAACGAAGCACUUUUGAUUAUUUUUUGGAUAAAUCAAUAGUGAGUGAGCGAGGGACGGGUGAGUAACGCGUGGGUAACCUGCCUCAUACAGGGGGAUAACAACUAUAAAUGACUGCUAAUACCGCAUAAGCGCACAGAGCUGCAUGGUUCAGUGUGAAAAACUCCGGUGGUAUGAGAUGGACUCGCGUCUGAUUAGCUAGUUGGUGAGGUAACGGCCCACCAAGGCGACGAUCAGUAGCCGGCCUGAGAGGGUGACCGGCCACAUUGGGACUGAGACACGGCCCAAACUCCUACGGGAGGCAGCAGUGGGGAAUAUUGCACAAUGGGGGAAACCCUGAUGCAGCGACGCCGCGUGAGUGAAGAAGUAUUUCGGUAUGUAAAGCUCUAUCAGCAGGGAAGAUAAUGACGGUACCUGACUAAGAAGCCCCGGCUAACUACGUGCCAGCAGCCGCGGUAAUACGUAGGGGGCAAGCGUUAUCCGGAUUUACUGGGUGUAAAGGGAGCGUAGACGGCAAGGCAAGUCUGAUGUGAAAACCCGGGGCUUAACCCCGGGACUGCAUUGGAAACUGUCUGGCUUGAGUGCCGGAGAGGUAAGCGGAAUUCCUAGUGUAGCGGUGAAAUGCGUAGAUAUUAGGAGGAACACCAGUGGCGAAGGCGGCUUACUGGACGGUAACUGACGUUGAGGCUCGAAAGCGUGGGGAGCAAACAGGAUUAGAUACCCUGGUAGUCCACGCCGUAAACGAU